UAGGGAAUCUUCCACAAUGGACGCAAGUCUGAUGGAGCAACGCCGCGUGAGUGAAGAAGGUUUUCGGACCGUAAAGCUCUGUUGUUGGUGAAGAAGGAUAGAGGUAGUAACUGGCCUUUAUUUGACGGUAAUCAACCAGAAAGUCACGGCUAACUACGUGCCAGCAGCCGCGGUAAUACGUAGGCGGCAAGCGUUGUCCGGAUUUAUUGGGCGUAAAGCGAGCGCAGGCGGAAGAAUAAGUCUGAUGUGAAAGCCCUCGGCUUAACCGAGGAAUUGCAUCGGAAACUGUUUUCUUGAGUGCAGAAGAGGAGAGUAGAACUCCAUGUGUAGCGGUGGAAUGCGUAGAUAUAUGGAAGAAUACCAGUGGCGAAGGCGGCUCUCUGGUCUGCAACUGACGCUGAGGCUCGAAAGCAUGGGUAGCGAACAGGAUUAGAUACCCUGGUAGUCCAUGCCGUAAACGAUGAGUGCUAAGUGUUGGGAGGCUUCCGCCUCUCAGUGCUGCAGCUAACGCAUUAAGCACUCCGCCUGGGGGAGUACGACCGCAAGGUUGAAAC
rnacentral:rRNA from 1 species